rnacentral:rRNA from 1 species
UACGAAGGGGGCUAGCGUUGCUCGGAAUCACUGGGCGUAAAGGGUGCGUAGGCGGGUCUUUAAGUCAGGGGUGAAAUCCUGGAGCUCAACUCCAGAACUGCCUUUGAUACUGAGGGCCUUGAGACCGGAAGAGGUCGGCGGAACUGCGAGUGUAGAGGUGAAAUUCGUAGAUAUUCGCAAGAACACCAGUGGCGAAGGCGGCCGACUGGUCCGGUUCUGACGCUGAGGCGCGAAAGCGUGGGGAGCAAACAGG